rnacentral:rRNA from 1 species
CGGCCGGGAACUCAAAGGAGACUGCCAGUGAUAAACUGGAGGAAGGUGGGGAUGACGUCAAGUCAUCAUGGCCCUUACGACCAGGGCUACACACGUGCUACAAUGGCAUAUACAAAGAGAAGCGACCUCGCGAGAGCAAGCGGACCUCAUAAAGUAUGUCGUAGUCCGGAUUGGAGUCUGCAACUCGACUCCAUGAAGUCGGAAUCGCUAGUAAUCGUAGAUCAGAAUGCUACGGUGAAUACGUUCCCGGGCCUUGUACACACCGCCCGUCACACCAUGGG